UACGUAGGGAGCAAGCGUUGUCCGGAAUCAUUGGGCGUAAAGAGCGCGUAGGCGGCCCUGUAAGUCCGUUCUGAAAGUCGGAGGCUCAACCUCCGAAAGCGGAUGGAUACUGCAGGGCUAGAGUCCGGAAGAGGCGAGUGGAAUUCCUGGUGUAGCGGUGGAAUGCGCAGAUAUCAGGAGGAACACCGGUGGCGAAGGCGGUUCUCUGGGCCUGUACUGACGCUGAGGAACGAAAGCGUGGGGAGCGAACAGG
rnacentral:rRNA from 1 species